AGUUGGAGAGUGUCGCCGGCAAUGUCGCCCCCGCUGGCGGCGCUUUCCGGGGGACGGGUGAACAGCCCGUCCCUGCUUAUACCUUCCGUCCGGAGCAAGCCCCCCUCCGUCGGAAGGUCAGGCGGGCGGUGGAGUUCCCCCAGCUCCAUCGCCCGCUUUC
rnacentral:sRNA from 1 species